AAACUAAUUUAAUAUGGCGGCAUUUCAUCUAAUUAGAGGAAUUUGUUUUCUAAUCGACACCACACGUUAAAUCUCACUUUAAUUUUAAAAUUUAUAUACCGCCAUCUUAAGAAUUAAUUAUAAAAUAUACUCCUAAAAAUAAAUAAAAAGUUAGGUCAAGGUGUAAUUUACAUUAAAGAAUUAAAUGAAUUACAUUAAAUAUAAUUUAAAGAUUAUAAGUAUAUAACUUAUAUAAAUAAGAAUUUAAAAGUAAUACACUAAUAAUAUUACAAUAUGAUUUAGAUAAUAAAUGUGUACACAUCGCCC
rnacentral:rRNA from 1 species